ensembl:lncRNA
CCCACCGCCCCGACUUUCGCAGACCCCGCCCUCUCCGGAGGCACCGUAAAGGGAGUGAGAGACAGGCAGGCGGGGCUCUUCCGAGACCGCGGGGCGUGAGGCCAUCGGCCAAUCCUGUCUCCUGGCAGCUUCCCGUCCUAGCUAACGGAAGCGGCUCCCGACGCGGGCGGAGGGGCCUCUAGGUGCUGUCCAGGCCUCGGGAACUACCUCCUCAGACCUCCGAGAAAGCCUUAGGUGUGGCUGAGUUAUAGAGGAAGACAAUGUGAAGUAAGGUAGCUCUUCCUCCUUUUGCUUAGGCUGCCUCAAAAGACUCAAGGCAUGCCCCAGAAAUGGGUUUCGAAUCGCCUGCUUUACAGCCACACCCAGACAUCCUGCGGCAGCUCAGCUCAGCACAUUCAGAACCAGAUUUGUGAUUGUCUCCCUCCAGCCUGCUCCCGUUUCUGUUACGGUUAUCAUGAUCUGUCUCUGUGAACCUUCAAGUAGAUGACUUGGCAGGUUAGAGCACCGGCCGCUGACCUUGUCCUGCUUGGCUGAGACUUGACCCGACUAAGGACAUGGAAGGAACGAAGAGAAAACAAGCAAGCGACAGAAGGGCUGGGAUCAGGUGGGCUGUGCACACUGUGAUGGAGCUGCGAUGGCUGUAAAUACCAGGCUGAAGUAUCAUCAACCCUUUAUAAGCAAUUAUACUUGUACACACAGACAUACAUGCAUACAUACAUCUGUGCAUACAUACAUCUGUGCAUACAUACAUACGUGCACAGACCAUAGCAAUACACACAAUCAGUAAGUAAAUUUAAUUUUUCUUUAUCUUUGAGAAUUUCAUACAUGUCUACAAUGAAAUAUGAUUAUAUAUACUCCUCAUUUCCUCUAACUUCCUUCGUGUACCCCCUAACACGUCCCACAAAGAACCUCACGUCUCUUUUUAAAACAAUCAUUAAAUCCAGUUGUGCUGCCCAUAUAUACAUGGUGUAAGAGGAGCUACUGGAACAUGGGAAUCACUGGCCACACCCCCUACAAAGAAUAAAUCUUUCCCCAAAACUAUCAAUUCUCCAUAGCUUCUCUAUGAGGGCAGGGCUGAGAGAUCUAUCCCAUUUAUGUGGGGAUUUUGGCCGCCUUGAUCCUGUGCUAUCAGUUAGGAAUGCAUAGCCCUGCAAUUAUUUGCAUCUAUAGGUUUAUAUUCUUUCAUUUAAUAGACGAAUGAGAUAAAUAAAUAAGUUCCAAAGGCAGUGGAAUCUAGACUGAAGGGGAACCGAAGCAUAACCACGACACAAUUAGGAAACUUUAUGGACCAGAUGCGGAAUUCAAAUGAGGGUCUCAGAAGUGCCGUCAGUGCUCCGGAUAGCAGAGCAGUGUCCUUGUUCUUGAGAAGCUGGAGAGGUCUUUGAGGGUGAAGUUCACCGCACAUGCACACACCAGUCCCAGAUGUUUAGCAAGGACUGGUACGUGUAGAGAGCUGGGUUGGAGAGACGAGGUGUUAAAAUUCACGAAACUAGCUUACAAGUGUGUAGACGGCCACUGCUUUGUCUUGGAAACCUGUCUAUACGUUAAAAACCCUCAAACUUAUGAAGUAGCUGUUUAUAAGAAAGAACAAGUGAGCCUGCUCAUGGUAGCUUCCCAAAACUGGGGAGGCAGAGGCAAGUAGAUCUCCGUAAGUUCGAGGCCAGCCUGAUCUACAGAGCUUCUUCUAGGACAGCCAAGGCUACACAAAGAUACAACAAAAAUCAAACCCACCACCCACUACCACCACAAACAAAGUGUGCAGUGGUAGGCUUCAGGCUUGAUGCUGUGAUAUUACAAAGCCUUAGAGCGGUCACUGCUGCUUCUGACUGUCUUUCCACCAAUCCUCUGCUAGGUGGGGUGUGAAACCUGGGCUUGUCAUCAACUCUCACAGCCACAGGUGGGUGCAGACAGAACAAUUCCUGGCUACCAACCUGAAACACAGAUGGUGUACCUCCCACUUACUAAGGAAUGUUAGCCUGAAAAUUAGCGACGUUAUCAGGGAGGGACUGAGUCCGUUUGAAUCUAUUUUUAAAACAAGAGUGUCCUAAAUCUGGUGUGGAAUGGGUUUGAAGAGUCAAGGAAUAAUUUCGACAUACCAAUGAAAUAUAGACUCUCUGCUGUCUGUGGGAAGCCAGGCUCCGGGUCACUACAGAGGUAAAAAAACUGCCUUUAACUUAUGAGCGAACAUGAUGGAAAUCCUUGCUGGUUUAAAAUGGUGUGUGAUUCAGAGUCUUUUGGUAAAUUCAGACUCUAUGAAAAGAUGACUCAACGUGGCAUGAUGUGGAGAGUUACGAUUUUUCCUACAUCCAGUUCCAGCCACAGGAUUUCUUUCUGACCAUGAGUUCACUUGGGAGAGAGGCAGCAGUCUCUAAUAGGUUUAUACGUGGCCUGCACCCUGAGCUCCCGCCAAUGCCGUGAGACCAGGCCUGGUCCCACCUGCUCACAUGAGUUCCCCAGUCAUUAUAGUGUGGAUCCUCCUAGGCCAGAUGUCUGUCCAUCUACCCCCAGAUAUGGGGGCAAGCACAGCCUGCUCCUCUUACCUCCCCUGACUACGGAUCAUUUGAGGUGAUGCCUACCUGGUGGAAACAUGGCCUACAAGCAGGCUUUUGAAGGAUUCUCCUGCCUCUGGUUUCGCUCGCUUUAUGCCUCCCUGGAUGCUGUGGUGUGAACAGCCUCUACCACACUUGCCAAGAACUGAUCUGAGCUACCUCGCCAUGCCUCCCCAAAGUGAUGGGGUGAAACCUGAAAUCAUUAGUCAAAAAUAAAUCUUUCCCAGUGCCAGAGAGAUGGCUCAGCAGUUAGGAGAGCUUGCCGCUCUUUCAGAGGACCAGCAGCUGUGGUUCCCAGUACCCAUAUUGGGCAGCUCACAUCUACCUGCAACUCCAGCUCGAAGGGAAUCUGAUGCCCACUUCUGGCCUCUAGGGGCACCUGCACACACGUGAUACAUACACUCCCCCCACCACCACCCCUUCCACACACAUUUUUUAACUCUAAAAAAAUAAAAAAAGUAACUCUCUUCUUUCUUCACUUGUUUCUGUCAAGUAUUUUGGUUACACAACAAGAAGGUACCCGCCACAGAAUGUGCAUAAAAAUUUACUGGGACAAAUACCUCUGUGACAGAAAAUGAGUACGGUGCUGUAGGCGAGCCCAGCUGUCAGAAGGCAGGGCGAGUCUGCCCCCAAGUGAAGGGAAGCAAGAAGAAACAAGGGACACUGGCAGCUGUUGGGAAGCCUCA